CCUACGGGGUGCUGCAGUGAGGAAUAUUGGUCAAUGGGCGGAAGCCUGAACCAGCCAAGUAGCGUGCAGGAUGACGGCCCUACGGGUUGUAAACUGCUUUUAUACGGGAAUCACGCGCCUUACGUGUAGUGCUUUUCAUGUACCGUAUGAAUAAGGAACGGAUAAUUCCGUGCAAGACGCCGCGGUAAUACGGACGGUCCGGGGGUUAUCCGGAUUUAUUGGGGUUCAAGGGAGCUUAGGCCGCAUGUCAAGCGUCCUGUGAAAUGGUCGGGCUCAACCCGGGCCUUGCAGAGCGAAAUGGCGUGCUUGAGUGCGCGGAAAGCAGGCGGAAUUCGUCGUGUAGUGGUGAAAUGCUUAGAUAUGACGAAGAACCCCGAUUGCGAAGGCAGCUUGCUGCAGCGGAACUGACGCUGAUGCUCGAAAGCGCGGGUAUCGAACAGGAUUAGAUACCCUUGUAGUC
rnacentral:rRNA from 1 species